AGCCAUGCAUGUCCAAGUACCUGCCGCAAAACAAAAAAGGCGAAACCGCGAAUGGCUCAUUAAAUCAGUUUUGGUUCCUUGGAUCGUACCCACCUACUUGGAUAACUGUGGCAAUUCUAGAGCUAAUACAUGCAGCAGAGCUCCGACCUUCGGGGACGAGCGCUUUUAUUAGACCAAAACCAAUGCGGACCUCGCGUCCGUCUGAAACGUGGUGACUCUGUAUAACUUUGGGCUGAUCGCACGGGCUCGUCCCGGCGACGUAUCUUUCAAGUGUCUGCCUUAUCAACUUUCGAUGGUAGGCCACGCGCCUACCAUGGUCGUAACGGGUGACGGGGAAUCAGGGUUCGAUUCCGGAGAGGGAGCCUGAGAAACGGCUACCACAUCCAAGGAAGGCAGCAGGCGCGCAAAUUACCCACUCCCGGAACGGGGAGGUAGUGACGAAAAAUAACGAUACGGGACUCUUUUGAGACCCCGUAAUCGGAAUGAGCGCACCACAAAGCCUUGUUCGAAGGCCGAUUAGAGGGCAAGCCUGGUGCCAGCAGCUGCGGUAAUUCCAGCUCUAAUAGCGUAUAUUAAAGUUGCUGCGGUUAAAAAGCUCGUAGUUGGAUCUCAGUUCCAGACGGGCCGGCCCCCUUACCGGCGGAUACCGGCCCGAUCUGAACGUCCCGGCCGGUUCCCCUUCGUGAUCUUUACCGGUUGUGUCGGGCGGACCGGCACGUUUACUUUGAAAAAAUUAGAGUGCUCAAAGCAGGCGUGACGCCUGGAUAAUGGUGCAUGGAAUAAUGGAAAAGGACCUCGGUUCUAUUUUGUUGGUUUUCGGAACGCGAGGUAAUGAUUAAGAGGGACGGACGGGGGCAUUCGUAUUGCGACGCUAGAGGUGAAAUUCUUGGACCGUCGCACGACGAACUACUGCGAAAGCAUUUGCCAAGAAUGUUUCCAUUAAUCAAGAACGAAAGUCAGAGGUCCGAAGGCGAUCAGAUACCGCCCUAGUUCUGACCGUAAACCAUGCCAGCCAGCGAUCCGGCUGUGUUCCUCAAAUGACACGCCGGGCAGCUUCCGGGAAACCAAAGCUUUUGGGUUCCGGGGGAAGUAUGGUUGCAAAGCUGAAACUUAAAAGAAUUGACGGAAGGGCACCACCAGGAAUGGAUCAUGCGGCUUAAUUUGACUCAACACGGGUAAACUUACCCAGUCCGGACACAGGAAGGAUUGACAGAUUAAGAGCUCUUUCUUGAUUCUGUGGGUUGUGGUGCAUGGCCGUUCUUA
rnacentral:rRNA from 1 species